CGUUUGAAAAGUGCAACUUAAC
rnacentral:piRNA from 1 species